rnacentral:rRNA from 1 species
UCCAAUUGAAGCAGAGGACAGUGGCGGACGGGUGAGUAACGCGUGAGGAACCUGCCUUGAAGAGGGGGACAACAGUUGGAAACGACUGCUAAUACCGCAUGAUGCAUAGGGAUCGCAUGAUUCUUAUGCCAAAGAUUUAUCGCUUCAAGAUGGCCUCGCGUCUGAUUAGCUAGUUGGCGGGGUAACGGCCCACCAAGGCGACGAUCGGUAGCCGGGCUGAGAGGCUCUUCGGCCACAUUGGGACUGAGAUACGGCCCAGACUCC